CUUACUAAGUUGCUGAGCCUGGCUUUGAAUUCAUGAUCUGCCUGCCUCAGCCUCCUGGGAUGCUAGGAUUACAGGCGUGCACCAUCUAGACAGCAUAAUUCUAAGGUCAUCCCAGAAGGAUGAAGAAAUUUUGGAAGGUUAAGGAGUGAUUUACAUAGCUGGAAGGGAAGAUUUAUUAUAAAGUAGCAUAAUUUGGGGCUAUUGAAUAACAAUAGCCCCAAGACAGGCUUAAGUCAAUACAACUGGUAUAAAAUAAAGGCAGAAUUUAAAUGUACUCACACUCUGCUGAGGAUAUAGGAAGCUGCAGAACGCACCACUCCCACCCUAACUACAAGAAAAAUGACAAAUAGCAAAAUCGUUAAUUUUGUUGAGCCCAUGAGAUAGAUGAAGUUGUGAGGCAACCAUGUCACCUCAAGAGACAAACUCCUCUAAGGACAGAGAGCUGUGCAAACUCCUAGCCUGGCAGAGCACAAGAAGAGGGGGCACCAUGAUGCACAGGGGUGAGAGGAAACCAGUUUGAGUGCCCAGCACUGCCCAUCCACGCGCGGGUGAGAGUGUGAACCUGGAGGGGCUGAGCCACACUCGGCUGCAGACUCUUUCCCCAAGAUUUCCACAGGGUGCUCCCAAGAACUACAGAGACAGCAGGAGACUGGCUCCCCCGGGCCCACAUCCCUGGAGCCAGCAGGUAGGUGGCACUCGAAGCUUGCUGGGAGCACACAAUGCCAUGUAUUUCCCUGGAUUCCUCCCUCAUAGGAAUCAACAUCCUUAAGCCACUGCAGGUAGGUAGCAAAUUCACUCUCCCACAGAACUUGAAGAGGUCAGUGGGUAUGGAAGAGGCACAAAACCUCACUCCUUGGACAGUUUUCCCUGGACAGUAAACGAAGGCCUCAGGAGACUCGAAUGGCAAAGUAUUCCAGGGCAGACUGACAAGGAUACAAAGCUCAAAAGAUGCAUGAAAAGCAUUUGAUAAAAGUGAGCAUCCAUUUAUGGUAAAACUCAGCUAACUAAAGCUUCUCACUCUCAAAAAGGGCACCUACUAAAGACCUACAGCCAGCAUUGUGUUUAGCACUGAAAGAUUGAAUCUAAAUCGUGGUACAUUCAUGCAAGGGAAUACUAACUACUCAGCAAGAAAAAGGGUGAACUACUGAUGCACCCGGCAACAUGCAUGAAUCUCGGAAGGAUCAUGCCAGGUCAAAGGAGCCAGACUCAAAGGCUGUCUACUACAGGAUCAUGUAUGUUGAUAUUUGGGAAAAGGCAAAACUAUAGAGCAGGGAGCUGAUCAGUGGUUGUCAGGGCAAGGGGAUGGGGCAGAGGAGGGGGACAAGGGAUCAACUCCAGAAUGAUACAAGGGAACUUUUUUUUAAAAAAAAUUUUAUUAUUAGUUGUUCAAAACAUUACAUAGUUCUUGACAUAUUAUAUUUACAAGGGAACUUUUUGGAAUGAUGGAAAUAUCCUUGAAUGUGCUGGUGACUGUAAAUUGUGUAUAUUGACCAAAAUUCAAUACUCUUAAGGGACAAAAUUUUCUCUAUGUGAAUCAUAUAUUAAGAACCUUAACUUUUAAAAAUGGUUCAGAAAGAAAGUGUCAUUCUGAAUAAUGCUGAAAUUAUUGGCAAACCAUUUGGAAUACAACAACUUUACAUUUCUCUCAUGACAUAAAAAGAUGAAUUCUAAAUGGAUUAUAGAUAUGUUUGAAAAAACUAUUAAAAAAAACUUAGAAGUAAGCAGAAAAUAUAAGUGAUGAUUAUGUAGGAGAUAAAAGCAUAAAUCAAAAACAAAGAAGGGAAGAGGUUAAUGGGACAGGUUGCCAGAAGGUACAGGGGAUGCAUCCUUGAGACAGGAUCCACCGGAGUCCCCCGCUGCCCUCCCCGCCUUCUUCCUUUUCAGAGUGUGAAUGGUAGGUAGUUAUGUGGGCACUUACCAGUUAUUCAUCACACUGUAGCCCUCUGUGUGUGACCCAUAUUUUACAAUAAGGAAGAAAAAAAGAAGCUAGGGGUAGCACAUCUGUAAUCCCAGCACCUCAGGAGGCUGAGGCAGGAAGAUUGCAAGUCUGAGGCCAGGCUGGGCAACUUAGUAAGACUCUGCCUCAAAAAGGGAUGGGGGUUUGUGACUCAGUGAUAGAGCCCCCCUGGGUUCCAUCUUUGGACCACACACAAGAAAUGAAAGAGGCAAAUUUGGGGUCCACUUAUAAUUUCUUGCAUUUUACACACAGGGGUAUGUAGGCUAGGGAGGCCAAAAAUUUCUCCCAUUUCCUAGGUCAAGUUUCCAUUCCUUAUCCAUGUCCUUACAGCCAAAGCAGCUGCAUGAUUUAGCAAAAGUUAACACACUCUGAACUUUUUUCCGGGUGUGUGUGUGGUGCUGGAGAUUGACCUCCGGGCCUGGCACAUGCUAGGCAAGCAUUCUACCACUGAGCCAUCAUACACCCAUCGUUUGAAUUUUUUUUUUUUUUUUGAGACAGGGUCUCACUAAGUUGUCCAGGUUGACUUCAUACUUGGCGAUCCUCCUGUCUCAGCCUCCUGAGUAGUUGGAAUUGCAGGUGUGUACCUCCACUCCUGGCUGACUGGACUUCUAAAAAUUAAGGUGGAAUGUGUAUCAUCUAGGUGACUGAAAAAAAAAAACACCAGUGAAAUUAAAAAUAAGUCUCAUUUUGAGAACAGUGAACCGGAGCAUCACGGAGGAAGGCAGCUAACCCAGGAGAAGUGAAGGCUUCGUGCUGCUCUCAACGCUGAGUUUUCACAUGAAACCUUACGGGUUUUAAAGGUGGAGAGCAAUUGAUUAAAGGACCUUGAGCAGAUGUUGGUGAGAAUGUGGCCACAUUAGGAUGUUGAAAGAGGAUGAGGCUUUGACACCUGCCAGCCUUGGACGUGCAGGUUGUAACCUGAACAAAACUGUUUUCCGACCCUGCCUUGAUCAUCACAGAUGUUAAGGUCCAAAGAAGGCCCAGCACCAGGUGGAGGACAGAUGGAGAGCACAGCAGGAAGCCUGGGCCCAGUCAGAGAGACGAGGGGAGCCCCUCCACCUUCCACCCGGUGACUUGUGACGGGAGGAUAGGAGACAGUGGACUUGGUGGUGUUCCUGCUGGUGGCUCCCGGCACUGCAUCCUGCAGCUGGAUGCUCCUCUGUGUCUGAGUUCCCUGUUCUGAGAAUCUGUUGGUGUGAAGUGAGAGUGUCCAGCGAUGAUCGUCCCCUGGUUAAGCUGUGUUAAUUGUGUUCAUGGGACAGAGAAAACCUGUGACGGAAUGAAAUGUACAGAGGUCUGUACCCCGAAAACCCUGGCCUAGUUUUACUCCCCUCUCUGCUCUCUAAAUAUUUCAUGGCACCGUUUCUGUCACUCCAGGGGCCUUCGGGACAGUGGCUACUCCUCACCUUGGCACAUAAAGACCUGCUUUUCCUUCUACAGAGCAGCGCCCUCAUUACCACAUACUCCAGUGUACAAACCAGCUGAGUUCUCUGACACUAGGCACGCUAUUUCAUGGUUCUGGGCGUGUAUAGUCUGGUCAAUAUUAUCAGCUGUCUACUGUGUGCCAGGCGCUGUGCUAAACUAUGACCCCUCCUCAGAGCAUCCUGUUGAAGUCUUGGUUGUUGUCUCCAUACAUGAGAGGACUGAGGUUCAAAGAAAUGAAAUAAUUCGCCUAGGCUCACACAGCUAAGUGACAGAGUUGGGAUGGGAAUGCAGGUUUAACUCCAAAGCCUGACUUUUUCUUGUUAAAAUAUAGAAAAAAUGUAUCACAUAGCCUUUUUAAAGUGUUAUCAUUCUGCAACAUUAAAUACGUUCACUUUGUUAGGCAACUAUCACUACUAUCUAUCUUCAGAAUUUAACUUUUCCCAUCUAAGACUCUGUAUCCAUCAAACACUAACUCCCCAUUUCCCCUCCCUGGAGUCCCUGGAACUACCCCCCUAAUCUUGUCUAUGGAUUUGACUGCUCCGGCUAGCUUGUGUAAGUGCAGUCAACCAAAUUUGUCCUUUUGUGACUGGCUUAUUUUAUUGAACUAUUAGUAUUUUUAUCUUUGAUCACUACCCAGGCCGGCAGCUGGCAGGUAUCUUUACUGUAAAGUUAUUCUCUAUUCUCCUUGUAAAAAUAAAUAUCUUUGAGUCAGUA